UUGAAAUACCAAUUCCCAUAUGAUCCCUGAAGUUAAGCAAUGUUAAGCCUGGUUAGUACCUACAUGGGUGACCACUUGGGAAAACCAGGCGCCA